rnacentral:sRNA from 1 species
GCUGGGCAUGGUGGUGCAUGCCUGUAAUCCCAGUGGCUCAGGAGGCUAAGACAGGAGGAUCAUGAGUUCAAGCCAGCCUCACAGCUUAGCAAGGACCUAAGCAACCUAAGUGAGACCCUGUCUCUA